rnacentral:rRNA from 1 species
AGUGAACGCUGGUGGUAGGCCUAACACAUGCAAGUCGAACGGCAGCACAGUAAGAGCUUGCUCUUACGGGUGGCGAGUGGCGGACGGGUGAGGAAUACAUCGGAAUCUACUUUUUCGUGGGGGAUAACGUAGGGAAACUUACGCUAAUACCGCAUACGACCUACGGGUGAAAGCAGGGGAUCUUCGGACCUUGCGCGAUUGAAUGAGCCGAUGUCGGAUUAGCUAGUUGGCGGGGUAAAGGCCCACCAAGGCGACGAUCCGUAGCUGGUCUGAGAGGAUGAUCGGCCAAACUGGAACUGAGACACGGCCCAGACUCCUAGGGGGGGCAGGAGUGGGGAAUUUUGGACAAGGGGCGAAAGCCUGAUCCAGCCAUACCGCGUGGGUGAAGAAGGCCUUCGGGUUGUAAAGCCCUUUUGUUGGGAAAGAAAAGCAGCAGGUUAAUACCCCGCUGUUCUGACGGUACCCAAAGAAUAAGCACCGGCUAACUUCGU